CGUAUGCUCCUCGUGAUACUGCCCGAGUAGUGUAUGCGAAUGAACUCGUUGCUGGUGGUUGCGAUGUGGAAGUAGGACUGUUUCUCGUUUACAAAAAACGUAUCUGGUACCCAUAUAUUUUUUAUGAACUCCGAUCCGACGCUCAGAGUUUCGACCUCUUCCCACUUGUUGAAGGCGAGCCGAGGAUCUUUCCAGAAUUGACGAAAGUAAAAAUCCAGCGUAAAUACCAUUUUCACUUCGGAUAGCGAGCUGAUGCUCAAGACGUACAUGGUCACGCCAACUUCGAC
rnacentral:misc_RNA from 1 species